GCACCAAAUGAAUGGCAUUUAAAAAAUAAGUAAUCAAGCGUAAAGGACUGAUGGGAUGGCUGCUAUAAAAUAAUAUGUAAUUGAUACUUCUUUGGGCCCCUGUUUGAAGCUGCGUGAAAAAAAUGUUAAAGAUUUUUUAAAAAGCGUUAUUGAGGUAUAAUGUACAGAUCAGAAAGUUAAGGUAGGUUGUAAUAAGUUUAUAUAGGGUGCAAGUCUCACCGCAAUCUAGUUUUUUGUUUGUUGUUUUGUUUUGGAAGCAGGAUGAAUUUUUAAGUAACUGUUAAGAGAGAGAGGUCUUACAGCGCUCCCACCUUCCUGGGAAAAUGCUUAGUUUCUGUUCACAAUUUUAACUGAGCUCAGCAGUUCGCAUCUCUUGGUGUGAUUAGAUUGCUCCAACCUGCUGUCCCCAGGGAAGCACUUCCCUUUCUCUGAUCGUGGUUCUAAGGCCCUAGUUAUUCACUUGGCAAACUCCGGGCUCCGGUCGCGUACGGGACGAACUGCGGGGAGUGAGCCGCGCGGGCCGCCGUAGUCAGCUGCUAAGAGCAGGAAGAAUCCGAGCGGCGGGCGGAGUCUGCAUUAUGGCACCGGACCCCUGGUUCUCCACAUAUGAUUCUACUUGUCAAAUUGCCCAAGAAAUUGCUGAGAAAAUUCAACAACGGAAUCAGUAUGAAAGAAAAGGUGAAAAGACACCAAAGCUUACCGUGACAAUCAGAGCUUUGUUGCAGAACCUGAAGGAAAAGAUCGCCCUUUUGAAGGACUUAUUGCUAAGAGCUGUGUCAACACAUCAGAUAACACAGCUUGAAGGGGAUCGAAGACAGAACCUCUUGGAUGGUCUUGUAACUCGAGAGAGACUACUUCUGGCAUCCUUUAAGAAUGAGGGUGCUGAACCAGAUCUAAUCAGGUCCAGCCUGAUGAGGGAAGAGGCUAAGCGAGAAGUACCCAACCCUUGGCUCUUUGAGGAGCCCGAGGAGACCAGAGGCUUGGGUUUUGAUGAAAUCCGACAACAGCAGCAGAAAAUUAUCCAAGAACAGGACGCAGGCCUUGAUGCCCUUUCCUCUAUUAUAAGUCGCCAAAAGCAAAUGGGGCAGGAAAUUGGGAAUGAAUUGGAUGAACAAAAUGAGAUAAUUGACGACCUUGCCAACCUAGUGGAGAACACAGAUGAGAAACUUCACACUGAAACCAGGCGUGUAAACAUGGUGGACCGGAAGUCAGCCUCUUGUGCAUUCUCUGGACGGCUGGAUUGCUGCAACUGUACCUUCCCAAGGGGGCUUCCUUUCCCCUGGUCUCACUUCAGUCCAGUGCAUCCUCGAUGCAGCUACCCACUUGAUCAACCUGAAACACUACUCUUAUCUUGCCAGGUAAUAAAGGGACCUUUGGUAGUAAACCUUGGAGAGCUCCAACCUGCCCUGAUCAGGGGGUUCCCAAACGCUGUUAGAAACUGGGCGGCACAGCAGGUGAUUGAGAGGGCAUGACCACCUGAGCUCCGCCCCCGUCAGAUCAGUGGCGGCAUUAGAUUCUCAUAGGAGUUCGAACUCUAUUGUGAACUGCAUAUUCAAGGGAUCUAGGUUGUGUGCUCCUUAUGAGACUCUAAUGCCUGAUGAUCUGAGAUGGAACUGUUUCAUCCCGAAACCAUCUCCCCCUCCCCCAAGUCCGUGGAAGAAUUGUCUUCCAUGAAACUGGUCUCUCGUGCCAAAAAGGCUGGGGACCACUGCCCUAGAGUACACAGCCCACAGUCUUUGGCUCUGGAUCUAAGGCUCGCCAUGGUCUCUCUACAUGGUCUCGUCUGCCACUUUGUUCCUCUAUCCGUAUGGAAACUUCCCACUAUAGCCAAACUCGUUCUUUCUCCUGCCUCAAUCCUAGCUUUUCUGUUUCUGCUUCUUAGCAUUUGCUCACAUAGUGGGCUUCCCUCAGUUGCUGUUCUACUUUAAAUCUUGCUUCACCUGCACUUAAGAGUCAUGUCAGCCAGGCACAGUGGCUCACGCCUGUAAUCCUAGCACUUUGGGAGGACAAGGCAGGCAGAUCACUUGAGGUUGGGAGUUUAAGACCAGCCUGACCAACAUGGAGAAACCACGUCUCUACUAAAAAUACAAAAAAUUAGCUGAGCAUGGUGUCUCAUGCCUGUAAUCCCAGCUACUCAGGAGGCUGAGGCAGGAGAAUCGCUUGAACCUGGGAGGUAGAGGUUGCAGUGAGCCAAGAUUACACCAUUGCACUCCAGCCUGGGUGACAAGAGUGAAACUCCGUCUCAAAAAAAAAGAGUCAUUUCUUGUGACCACUACUCUAUUUUUCCUCUAUGCACAUCUUAUAUUUUUACUCUUUCGUUUAUUAGAGAUACAUGAAUAUACGUAUCUUUGGAAGAGAAGCCAUGCCUCCUUCUCUUUAUUCACUGUGGAAGCCAGACAGGUAUAGAAAGGAGUCAGACUGCAGUAGAGAAGCAAAACCAGAAAGCUUCCCUCUUAAGAGGUCAGCCCCAGGUGACUGUUGCCAGGUAGCAGUGGGCCCAGUAUUGCCCAAAAUUCUUCAGAUUUUUCAAAGAAAGCCAGAACCUCCAUUUCCAUGUGAAAUUGCUUAAUUUCAAUUUUUAACAUGAUGCUUAAAGAUUACGUAUCUACUAGAGAAAAGAGUCCCUUAAAAUUACAAUUUAAAAACCAUUUCAAGUGCAGCAUUGAUCUGAAACAGCAAUAUAUUCACUGAACAAAUACAAAACAGUAAAAAGCCUGCCUUUCAAGAUGACUUUGAGUAGAUUUUCUGGAAAAUCAGGAGUUAAAUGUUCCAUCCUGUGAAUUUAGGAUUUAGAAUCCUAUGCUAGUGUUUAUCAUUUUUUCCUUUUGCAGAUGAAUUUCAGUACUAUAAAUCCUCCUUAACAUAGCCAGAUGCCUUUAAUAUCUUUUUAUUUUCAUUUUAUGAAAAUGUUCAAUGAAACAAAUUUUUAUAUUGCAUUUUCCCACAUUGACAUUAGCAGACAAGCCUGUUUGGGAGGGCUACUAAUCGCGCAGAGAGUCUGCAGGUUGGGGAAAAAUCACAGCCCUUUCCAGCUUCGAUAAAUGAGAGUGGGUCACAGGAGGGAAAGAAGCAGCUGCCCUCUUUGAUAGGCUGAGAAAACAGGAGUUACUGGCCCCGGCAGGUGUUCGGAGAAUUCCCACACAGGUGCAGAUUCCAAAUGAACUAUUAUUUAUUACACUUGGGCUUCUGUGACACAGUCAUCUUUCAUCCAUUCAUCACAUUUUUAUUGAGUCCCUUCACCGAGGCCAUGCUAUGGGGGAAUCCUGUGGUGCAUCAGCCUUAAAGUUCCUGCCUUCAAGUUGCUUAAAGUCCAGCAGGAGAGAGACAGAAACAUCACAAUCACACUCAUACGAGACAGAAUCUAAUCAGUGUCUCUUAGUUCCUAAAUGACCAAUUUGAAGCAUUCAUAAUAGUAGUAAGAGUAAGCAGUAUCCAUGGUGCUUUCAAAGGCACAUAACGUCUUUCCUGGGUCAUAGAGAAAAAGCCCUUUCUGAGCAUAGGCCAAUAGACUGAGCACACAGCAGGAAUGAAGAGUCCGUUGUUGUUGUUUAGACAGUUUCGCUCUUGUUGCCCAGGCUGAAGUGCAAUGGCAGGAUCUUGGCUUACUGCAACCUCUGCCUCCUCGGUUCAGGUGAUUCUCCUGCCUCAGCCUCCUGAGUAGCUGGGAUUAGUCAGCGACAUCACACCUGGCUAAUUUUGUGUUUUUAGUAGAGAUGAAGUUUCUCCAUGUUGGUCAGGCUGGUCUCAAACCUCUGACCUCAGGUGAUCUGUCCACCUCGACCUCUCAAAGUGCUGAGAUUACAGGCAUGAGCCACCUCACCUGGUACGAGGAGUCCUUUUACACUGGAAUUAAGUUCCUAGAAGUUUUCUUGAUUGGUUGGGUUGGUUUUUGGAAGCACCUUGAUUAGUUACAUAAUCAAGGAUGAGUAGAGAGAGGAAUUUAAAACACUUCAUUUACUCGUCUACCUGAGCAGCCUCAUGCCAAGGUCGUAGAUAGAGGUGCAGUGUCCAAUUCUAGGAUUUAUGGGAUGGCUGUGGGUCUCAGGAGUCUGUAGUCUUGUACUGUGAUUCCUUGGCUUUGAUAUUCAAGAGCCUCACCUGCAAUGCUUUUAAAAAUUCAAACAUCUGGGCCCCUCACACAGAGAUACCAAUUCAGGGGGCCUUGAGCCUUGGAAUCUGAUUUUAUCAAGUACCCCUAGAUGAUUCUGAAAUAGGUGGUCCUUGGAAACUGUUCUUUGAAAAGCUGUGCUCUAGCAGUAGAAGAGAGUGGGCAAACAUCUUACUGCAGAAAUGGCGUGGCCAUGACAGAGAUGUGUGCGUGGCCCAUCUGCAGUGCUGCAGGAGUUGAGGGUUGAGAAACAGCUCCAUUCCAGCCACCCUGACUGGAAGUCACUUGAGUUAGCACAGACAAAAUGAGUGGAUUUGGUAGUUUGAAAUGAGUAAAGAAUUAUUCGGAGUGCAAUGAACUGGCGCACCAAGGCAGGGGAGAGCAGUGUGCCUUCAGGGGAUCUGAUCAACUCACUCUCCCGCUUAGAAACCCCUCAGAGGCGCCCCAGGCCCUCAGAAUAAGGUCCAAGCUCCUUAGCACUAGUUCCCACAGCCUAGUAGGAUCUAGUCUCAGGCCGAACCUUCCUUCACUCCCUCACCCUUGGCUACCCUGCACCCUUGCUUCUCAAUACACACAUUCUUUUUCUCUCCCAUGGACUAGGAUCCAGCCACCCUGAACAGUUGGCAUCCCUGGCCUUCCUUUAUUUUGGUGGCUUUGUACACAUUCCUGCCUCUACCUGGAAUAGCUGCCCUCCUUUCUAUCCCUGAUUUCCCUUCCCUAACUUUUCAGCCCUUCAGGGUUGAUUUGGUGUGGCACAUCCUCCAGAGCAGCUCAGUCGUGGUAUCUGGGGAUCUUGUUAACAUGCAGGUUCUGGCCAGGCGCGAUAGCUCACGUCUGUAAUCCCAGCACUUUGGGAGGCUGAGGUGGGCAGAUCACCUGAGGUCAGGAAUUUGAGACCAGCCUGGCCAACAUGGUGAAACCCUGUCUCUACUAAAAAUACAAAAAUGAGCCCCGUGUGGUGGCACAUGCCUGUAAUCCCAGCUACUUGGGAUGCUGAGGCAGGAGAAUUGCUUGAACCUGAGAGACGGAGGUUGCAGUGAGCCGAUCAUGCCACUGCACUUCAGCCUGGGCAACAGAAUUAGACUCAGUUUCAAAAGAAAAGAGAGAGAGAGAGAGAGAGAGAAGAGGAGAGGAGAGUAAGUGGUCCCUAGGAUUUUGAGGAGUAAGCUUGGCUCAUCCUCUGUCGUAGUGUGGACACUGAAAUAAGUUAUCAACCUCCUUUGAAAUACUAAUGAGCUCUUUUUUCUUCCACAACUUAAGCAGUGUUUGGUGUUCUGAGAGACAGCCUUUUAUUUUUGUGCUUCAAAGUUUCUUUUUAAAGUGGAUGUAUAUUUUCCUAUGGAAUUCUCAAGAUACUUUUUCAUGUGUAUUUGUAGGGGUGACAUGUUUUAGAAAUUUCUUUCCAAUCCUCUUAGGCAUUGUCCAAGAGUUUUCUGAUAUGUAAAGCUCUGUUCCCUUUAAUUGUUUCUGAGCGGUUAGGACUCCCUCAUUCCAUUUUACAUUAAAGUUAACAAUUUCCAGGGAAUGAUUUUAAUUGAAAUAGGCAUUCAUUCAAAUGUUCAGAACUUCAUUUCUCCCACACCCAUUUCUGGCUGUGGCCUUGUAGGAACAAGCAUGUAAACUAACAAAAAGUGUUAAUAAAAGGGAUAAACCAGGCUUGGUGUGGUGGCUCAAGCCUGUAAUCCCAGCACUUUGGGAGGUUGAAGUGGACAAAUCACGAAGUCAGGAGUUCGAGACCAGCCUGGCCAACAUGGUGAAACCCCGUCUCUACUAAAAUACAAAAAAUUAGAUGGGUGUAGUGGUGGGCCCAUGAGGCUGAGGCAGGAGAAUCGCUUAAACCCGAGAGGCGGAGGUUGCAGAGAUCGUGCUGCUACACUCCAGUCCAGGUGACCAAAAAAAGAAAGAAAGAAAGAAAAAACCUUGAUGAGUAGAUAUCAAACAUACAAUUUCACCCUGAAGGUUUUUUUCCCUAGGUAUAUUUACUACCCCUCUAAAUACAAAAUUAUAAAUCUAAAGUAGGCCCAGCACAGUGGCUCAUGCCUGUAAUUCCAGCACUUUGGGAGGCCAAAGUGGGUAGAUCACGUGAGGUCAGGAGUUCGAGACCAGCCUGGCCAACAUGGUGAAACCCUACCUCUUCUAAAAACACAAAAAUUAGCUGGGCAUGGUGGUGUGCAUCUGUAAUCCUAGCUACUUGGGAGGUUGAGGCAGGAGAAUUGCUUGAACCCAGGAGAUGGAGGUUGCAAUGAGCCCAGAUUGGGCCAUUGCACUCUAGCCUGGGUGACAGAGGGGGAAUCCAUCUCCAAAUCAAUCAGUCUAUCAAUCAGUCAAUCUAAAGUAGUCUCUAUUUUCCUAAUUCCUGGCGUGGUAAUUUUGCACCUGUCAACCUGUGAGUUGUUCUUGGCAGCUGGAUCUCUAUCAUUCCUUUAGGCUCUACUCCCUAGCAGAAAGGGUUUUCACCCUGGUUUGCAUUCAGCAUUUGCUUUUCUACAAGGUGCUGAAUCCUCAUACAGAUGAAGUUGGUAAGUCCCAUUAGAAGGGGUUUGAAAUGCUAAUUCAUAGCUGUUGACAGGUAUGAAUUCCCAUCAGUCUGGAAUGUUUCGCCUAUUCAAAGUAAUGGAGCAUCCUUGAAUAUAAUCUCUUUUAAAACCCAGAAAUGUGAUACCUGGUUGCCGCAAGCUAAAAAAGAGAAAACUUCCCUGAGAUGCCCAGAGCAAUUUUGUCUCAAGAAAUAAAUAAAUAAACAAAUAGCCAGAUAACCCUCCAGAAAUGCUCCUAUGGAGCUUUAUGUAUAGCUUUAGGUAUUUAUGUUCAUGCGAGUAUAUUUACGUGUGUGUGUGUGUGUGUGUGUGUGUGUGAGAGAGAGAGAGAGAGAGAGAGAGAGAGACCACCUUGAGUGCCUGUGGUUGUAUUAGUAUAACUAUAACUUAUUUUUCAAAAUUCUUGAGGUAAAGAUCUAGCUCAUCUACUAAUUUAUUAUCUUUUUAAAAAAAACGUAUUGAGGCCGGGUGCAGUAGCUUAUGACUGUAAUUCCAGCAUUUUGGGAGACUGAGGCAGGCGGAUCAUGAGGUCAGGAGUUUGAGACCAGCCUGGCCAACAUGGUGAAACCCUGUCUCUACUAAAAAAAUACAAAAAUUAGCUGAUUGUGGUGGUGGGCACCUGUAAUCCCAGCUACUUGGAAGGCUGAGGCAGGAGAAUUGCUUGAACCUGGGAGGUGGAGGUUGCAAUGAGCCAAGACCUUGACAUUGUGCUCUAGCCUGGGCAACAGAGCGAGACUCUGUCUCAAAAAAUUAAAAAUAAGGCUGGGCACGGUGGCUCAUGCCUGUAAUCCCAGCACUUUUGCAGAUGGAGGCGGGCAGAUCAUGAGGUCAGGAGAUCGAGACCAUCCUGGCUAAUGGUGAAACCCUGUCUCUACUAGAUGUCCGACCUACCCUCUGCGGGAAGACUGGGCUCAUUGGGAAAGAAACCGGACCACAGGCUAGAGGAAAUUCCUUAAGUUCAGGCUUUAUUGAGAGGAAAGAGCCUCCGGGCGGGCCAGCCGGGACGAAAAGGAAAAAUGGCUGCGCCGCUCAGAGGGGCAGGGUUGUUUUAUAGGGGGCUGAAGGGCUGGGGGGUGGGGAAGCCAAAAGCCAAGGUGGUGGGCAACUGUUGGUCAGUUUGAACUGCUGGGCGGGAAGCUGGGCGGCGGGAAGCUAGGGCCGGUAUGUAAAGUGAGAGAUAAGGGAGCCUCUUUGUGGGGGAGGGAAAGAGAGAGAGAGAGCUUUUGCGGUAGGGGCAGAGUUUUCCAAACAUUCCCGACUCCUUAAAGAAAAGAAAAAGAGGGGGUCAGGGGCGUCGGUUGUCUCUCUGGCUACUUCCUGCUGACAAGGGUCAACGGGGGGUUCUGAAGAGGUCUCUUUUCUUAAGGAGCCUGGAUGUUCGGGGAGAGGUCUGUUUCUUGCACUCGUUCAGGGUAGGGUUGGAGCAGCAUCUGGUGGAUGGUGACUCGAGUCAGUUCUUGAAAGCGCCGCUGUAGGAACCAGGAUUGGCGGAGCUCAAGCAUGAGCUUGGUCAGAUGCUCCUUUAUUAGGCCAUUGGCCUGUUCUACCUUACCAGAGGACUGGGGAUGGUAGGCAGCAUGUAGCUUCUACUGAAUUCCUAGAGAGGUAGAAACGGCAUUAGUGACUUUGGAGAUAAAGGCUGGGCCGUUGUCUGACUGUAUGGUAGCCGGGAGUCCAAAGCGUGGGAUGAUGUCUUGAAUGAGGUAAGUGGCUACUGUCCCGGCAGACUCAGAGGCUGUGGGGUAAGCUUCAAUCCAGCCUGAAAAAGUGUCAACAAUGGUUAGCAGAUACCGGUACUGUUUGUGCUUUGGCAUAUGGGUGAAAUCAAUUUGCCAGUCUUGGCCAGGUAGGAACCCGCGUAGCUGAUGAAGCUGGCGUCGAGGAUGACAGGAACCCUGGGAAUUAGUUUUCGCGCAGACAGUACAUGAGGACUGGACUUCCUGUAUGGUACUGAGGAGAUGGUGAGGGUGAAAAAGUGGGUUGAGGAAUCGGUAUAAGGCUUUAGGCCCAGUGUGGAGUGAAUUAUGGAUGUCUUGGAUUAUCUGGUACCUUUGCUUUUCAGGGAGGAUGAGGAGGUUAUGCUUGAAGGCCCAGUCAUCCUUGAACCAUACCCCGGGGGUAGACUGGAGGGCCUGGAGUUCCGAGGCAGAGUAUUGAGGGCUAGGAGAAAAAGGCUGGGUGGGCUGGCGGUGGGGAAGGUUAUGAAGGCCUUCAGCUUUGAAAGGAUGUCUCGCCCCAGAAGGGGAACUGGGCAGGUGGGGAUUACUAAAAAGAGUGGGUAAAUGGAGUGGAGUUAUAUGAGCACAUGAGUGGUGGGGUUUGGUAGGGGAUACUCGGGGUCCUGUCGAUUCCCAUGACCGAGACCUGGGAAGGAGUGAGAUGGCCAGAAUAGGAAGGAAGUGCGGAGUAGGUAGCCCCUAUGUCUUGUGACCCUAGGCUCGGCGAGGGUAACCGGAGUCGGAAAGCCAGGGCCCCGCUAGUCGUCUAACAGCCCUAGUAGACUGGGGAACGGAGCUCCCUCGGAGGUCGGCUCCUGGCAAGCAGGCUCCUCCCUACUGAGGGUGACUGCCGGCUGCGUAACGCCAGCGUGUCUGUUUUGAGGAACCGGCACCCUGGGGAAGCUGGGGCAGUCUGACUUCCAGUGUCCUGGGAGCCGACAGAUAGGGCAAGGCUUAGUUGGUGGCCGUGGUUGUGGACAGGCUCGGGACCAGUGUCCUUCCUUUCCACAUUUGAAACAUGCCCCUGGAGGGGCAUGGGUUUCGGCCUUGGGCUUCUGGUUCCCUGCCGGCCUUAGAGCCGCCACUAGGGCUUGGGUCUGGAGAGCAGCCUUCUGCUUCAUGCGAGUUUGGCGGGCAGCCUCAGCUGCAUCUUCCCUGGCAUUGAAUACUUUAAAGGCCAUUUUUACUAGGUCUUGGAUGGGUCUCUGGCCCCUCUUCUGCUUUCUUUAGUUUCUUUCUUAUGUCGGGUGCUGAUUGGGAGAUAAAGUGGGAGGCUAAUACAGUGGCCCCAUUUUGGGAGGCUGGAUCCAGUCGAGUGUACCGGACUAGGGCUUCUUAUGUUUGAGUGAGGUAUUGGAAUUCUUUAAUAUAGGUGGACGGGUUGGCUGAGAAGGAUCCUAAACGUUUCUCAAUUUGGGACAGGUCUUGGAGUGAGAAAGGAACAUGGACCCUGAUUAAACCUUCUGUGCCUGCUACUUCUCGGAGUGGGGCCAGGAUAGCUGGCUGGUGGGAGCGGGUGUGGGCCGCCACCGGAGAGGCAAGAGGAAGUGCAGCCUCUGAGGGAGGGGGCUCGGAGGGAGUAGAGGGAGAGCGAGGCAUGGCCUCUGAGGUAGGAGGUGCAGAGGGAGUGGGGGAAGGGCGUGCCGUUGAUGGCGACUGGUUGCUGAGAUUGGCAGGAGAGGACAGAUGUUCAGGCAGAUCCUCCGGUGAGGAGUAGGGAGGGGGAGAGGUAGUGGAGGAAGAUUUACGGGGGGUUCGAGAUAAGAGGAUUUGGUAGGUUGAGCAGGAAGAACAUAGGUCGGGGUGGGUACAGAGGUCCCAAAAAGCCUGGACGUAAGGAAUUUCAUUGUCCUUGCCCACGCGGCGACAAAAAUCGUCGAGAUCUCGGAGGGUGUUGAAAUCAAAAGUGCCAGUCGGGGGCCAAUGUGACUGGUUACUGAGUUUGUAUUGGGGCCAAGCCACCUGGGACAGGAAAAUAAGCUUUUUCUUUCUGAGGGUUUGGGAAUAUCCCAAUUUGGUAAAAUUUCGCAGCAAGCACCCGAGGGGGGUGCUCAGAGGUAUUUUGGACUCCGAAUUUCCCAUGGCAGGCGCAGCUACAGACUCUCCGGCGCGGAUGGGCAGAUGCAACGAAAAGGCGUCCCCGUUCGUUGCAAAUUCCCCGGAGUACAAUUAAGUACGGAAAGGGAAGCGGUCAGAGGGGCGUCCCCCGUCUGGCGGCUGUCCCUCGGAAGGCUCCUGGAGCCGGAAUGGAAGACUACCUUGGCUCGGCCGAGACUAGGCAAGGAGUCUGUGUGGAACUCCGGAGAGGGAGCAACUGCACCGUGCCGUAGGAAGAGGAGACGGGAAGCGGGGGAAGGCAAAGCAAGAAAAACUAUGCUUACCUUAAUCAGAAUGUGGAGGUGGCAGGGCCAGUGUUGGGUAGGUCGGGGAGGGGGGCCAUGGCCGGGCCAAUGGCCCCAGCUCCCGGGUUUCCGGCACCAUUUGUCCGACCUACCCUCUGCGGGAAGACUGGGCUCAUUGGGAAAGAAACCGGACCGCAGGCUAGAGGAAAUUCCUUAAGUUCAGGCUUUAUUGAGAGGAAAGAGCCUCCGGGCGGGGCAGCCGGGACGAAAAGGAAAAAUGGCUGCGCCACUCAGAGGGGCAGGGUUGUUUUAUAGGGGGCUGAAGGGCUGGGGGGUGGGGAAGCCAAAAGCCGAGGUGGUGGGCAACUGUUGGUCAGUUUGAACUGCUGGGCGGGAAGCUAGGGCCGGUAUGUAAAGUGAGAGAUAAGGGAGCCUCUUUGUGGGGGAGGGAAAGAGAGAGAGCUUUUGCGGUAGGGGCAGAGUUUUCCAAACACUAGAAAUACAAAACAAUUAGCUGGGUAUGGUGGCAGGUGGCUGUAGUCCCAGCUACUUGGGAGGAUUAGGCAAGAGAAUCACUUGAACCCGGGAGGCAGAGGUUGCAGUGAACUGAGAUCGCACCACUGCACUCCAGCCUGGCAACAAAGCGAGACUCCAUCUCAAAAAUAAAUAAAUAAAAUAAAAAUUCACUUCCUACAAAUAAUGACUAUUAACUGUUUGGGUGUAUCUUUCCAGUCUCUUUUCUAUGCAUGCAUAUAGUAAUCUACAUGUGCUAUGGUUUGAAUGUCUCCGCCAAAACUCACAUUGAAAUUUGAUUGCCGUUAUGACAGUAUUAAGAGGUAAGACGAGGUGAUUAGAUCAUGAGGGCCCUGCCCUCGUCAAUGGCUUAAUGUUAUUAUCACAGGAGUGGGUUACUUAUCAAGGGAAUUCAGCCCCCUUUUCCUCUCUGUCUUGUAUGCCCACUAAUGCCUUCCACCCGUGCUGGUUUCACUCUCAUCAGAGGGCCAUGUUCUUGGACUUCCCAGGCUUCAGAACCAUGAGCCAAAUCAAUUCUUUCCUGGAUAGAUUGCCUAGUCUGUGAUAUUCCAUUAUAGCAGCGACAAACCUAAGCAAACAUAUAUUGUCUUUUUUAUUCCUUUCAACCAUUUUGCGAUCAUAUCCUGCAUACUUUGAGAGUUCCUUUUCUCACUUCCUGGAGUUGAAACCACCUUUGCAAAAUUAUGACUAAGACAGUGAAAGAGGUCCAACUUAAACGACUCUAUCUUGCCUCUAAUUUCCACACUGUCCUUGUUCAUUCCUGGGCGUCGGCUGAACUAACUGUGGGAGGAACUUAGUUCAUAGUUUAAAACAAAGAUGAUGGUAGCCCUUUCCCAGAAAAAAAAAAAAAAAACCCUCCUUCUUGCCUGGGAACUAGACUACUAACAUUAGCCACAAGAUUAGAAAUUAUGCUUUAGGAGUCACAUAGCUGGAGACUACAAGAUUCUGAUCCUAUUCAAACUGCACCUAAGAUCAGUACUUGAGAUGGUUUGCAGAAUCCCAUCUACCCUUGAUGGAUUAACUGGCACCACCUGAUCUUGUGACCCCCCCAGCCCCAGGAACUGACUCAGUGCCAGAAGACAGGGACACCCUGUGUUCGACCCAACCAAUCAGCACUCCCAACUCACUGCUUCUCCCCUCCACCAAAUUGUCUUUAAAAUUUUUGAUCCCCAAAUGUUCAGGGAAACUGGUUUGAGUAAUAAUAAAACUCUGGUUUCCCACUCGGCCAGUUCUUUGUUAAUUACUCUUUCUCUAUUGUGAAUCCCCUGUCUAGAGAAAUCGGCUCUGUCUAGGUAGUGGGUACGGUGAACCCACUGGGCGGUUACAAAUUGGUUAAGGUGGCUGGGCUCAGUGGCUCAUGCCUGUAAUCCCAGCACUUUGGGAGGCCAAGGAGGGCAAAUCAUGAGGUCAGGAGUUCGAGAGCAGCCUGACCAACAUGGUGAAACGCUGUCUCUACUAAAAAUACAAAAAUUAGCCAGGUGUGGUGGCAUGCACCUGAAAUCCCAGCUACUCAGGAGGCUGAGGCAGGAAAAUCGCUUGAACCUGACAGGGGAGGCUGCAGUGAGCCAAAAUCGCACCGCUGCACUCCAGCCUGGGUGUCAGAGUGAUACUCAGUCUAAAAACAAAAACAAAAAAAACACCACCAACAACAACAAAAAAACACAUUGAGUAAGGUAAACCCAUUGGGCAGUUACACAGUCUCAAAAAUUUCUAUGUCUCCAUGUUUUCCAACAAAAUGACUGUAUAACUUUUUUUAAAUGUGUGUGUGUUAUAUCGAUUUACAUGAACUCUUGCUUGAAGCAAGUGUUUUUAAGCAUUUAUUAUAAGUUGUUUUAAUUUGAAAGCUGGAGGAACAGAAAACCAAAUGCCAUGUGUUCUCAUUUAUAAGUAGGAGAUACACACGUUGGGUACACAUGGACAUACAGAUAGGGACAAUAGACAUCAGGGACUAUUAGAAGGGAGAGAGGGAGGGGAGCAAGGGCUGGAAAACCACCUGUUGGGUAUUGUGCUCUCUACCUGGCUGAGGACAUCAUUCGUACCUUAAAACUCAAUGUCACACAGUAUACCCAUGUAACAAAUGUGUACGUGUACCUCCUGAAUCUAAAAAUUGAAAUUAUUUUUUUAAUUCCAAAAUAAAGCACAGUUUAAAAAAGAAUUGAAAGGUAGAAACCACAGGAAACUCAGACACAUUAUCUUCAUUCUCAGUAGGGAAAUACUCUGCUUUAAGAAGUAUUGGGGCUUAUUCUCAUCUUGAAGACCUUGGGUGUGGCAGCUGAAAGCCUUUUUUUGUUGUUGUUAGUCUCCUCUCUCAGCCUCCUGAGUAGUUGGGAUUACAAGUGCACACUACCACGCCCAGCUAAUUUUUGCAUUUUUAGUAGAGACAGGGUUUCAGUAUGUUGGUGAGGCUGGUCUCGAACUCCUGACCUUGUGAUCCGCCCGCUUCGGCCUCCCAAAGUGCUGGGAUUACAGGCGUGAGCCACCGUGCCCAGCAGGCAGCUGAAAGCUUUGAAAGAUGUGAUGCAUUUCCCCAAAGGUAGCCAAAAAUGUCAUCACCUCCCUAGGCAAAUAUAUCUUGGGUUCUAGGUGCUGUGUUGGGUAAGGCAGGAUACAGUGGUGGUCCCUGCCCUCAGGGAGCUUAUAUUGCAGUUGUGGGAGGGAAUUGAGACAGUAAACAGACAUACAUAAAUGUAAUAAUUACCAAUUGUGAUACAGUCUAGACAGCCAGAAGGCCCUCUGGAUGUAAAGACUCUGAAAAAGGAUCCAGUUCUGCAUUACUGAUUUUAUUAACAUCAUUAAGAUUGUCACUAGAGAAUGGCUUGGAUAACGUAAGAAUGUUUAAGUACUUAUGACAGAUGAAUGAAACACAGCACCAAUAGCUCCAUUUGGAUGCAUUAUAAAAUAGUCUCCAGUUACUUGUAAACUUGGGAGAAGUGAAAUGUCACUGCAGAUCUAGAUCUCUAGAGGAAGAAAGCCACUAUUUUGUCCAUUCCGUCUGUGAAUCUUUUAUUCCUUACUUGGUGGAUGAUGUUGGUUAAGUUAACCAAAGGGAGCAUGUCGAUCUGAUGAUUUGUUGCCUCUGUCUGAUUUGUUCAUUGGUGUUUUGGAUGAGGGAAAAAAUGAUGAGAUCUCUGCCUCUUAGUCAUUCUCCCUAACUCCAACUCAACCCUUGUUCCAAUUCACCCAUUUCCCAUUAUGGAGCAGAAAAGACUGCUUAAGGCCUGGUUUAUUUACCUAAUAAACUGGCUCUUGUAUUGCCUGGGAAAUGCUAAAAUUUUUCAGCCAAGAAAUCCUAGUAACAAGCAAACAGAGGUCCAGCAGUCAGGUCUGAAGAAACAACAAAAUGAAGGUCAGCUAAUAUCGUCAUUAUUCUCCUUCCUGGUGGCCAUGACAGCGCCGGGGUUUAUUUGAAGAUCCCAGACUUCGAAUCAUUGCUCGCAUUGUUUGUUAGCCGCCCAAGUAUUUUAGGCUGUGCCAACAGUUGCAGAUAUUAAUGUAUUCUAGAGAUCAGUGAAUGAAGAAUUCCUCUGCACUUUUUUCCUUUUUAAUUUUUUUUUCUUCUCCUUUCCAUACACUUUGUUUGCAGUGUCUUUGUCUGCCAGAGGUUGCUGGGCAUUUCUAAUGAGAAAGCAAAGAAUUGCAGAAGGAAAAAGGCAGAGAGGGGGGAGGGAGAGAGAGAGAACAGGCGGAGGAAAAACAGGGCGUGUUUAGCACUUUAACAGUAAGGUGACAUUUUUACAAGCUAGUCAGGUGCACAGGACUCAUUGGGGAAAGCAGCAUUGUCGAUGCAAAUUGAGAGCGGAAAGCACAGUUUUUGGAAACGUCCAAUUCAUCGAUUAGCUUCUCCCAACAAAAACGCACUUUUAUUUUUGAACAUCAUUUUCGCCGCAGGACACCCAGCCUCCAUCCCGCUUUAGUAUUCAUCCCAGCUUCAUUACCGCAGCCACCUCGCAACCCACCCUGGGCAGCUGCUAAAAGGGGGGAAAAAAUUAAAGCAAUUCAUACUCCUGGUGACUUACUGCUGCAGAAUAAUUGGUUUCUGUUUGCAAAGAACAUUAUCACAGCAAAGCCCAGAAAACAGAAAGGAAUGAUCAUGGUGAUUUUACUGCUGCUUGUGGCUAUUGUGGUCGUCGCAGUCUGGCCAACCAACUGAUGGCGGUAAAGAGACCAUCAGCCGUGACACCUGCCAAUGACAGAUGAAAAGCUAGCACCCUUUUGGUAUGCAAAGCCUGCCCUCAAUAAAUUCCCCCAAAGCUCCGAA